rnacentral:rRNA from 1 species
AUUGAACGCUGGCGGCAGGCCUAACACAUGCAAGUCGAACGGUAACAGGAAGCAGCUUGCUGCUUUGCUGACGAGUGGCGGACGGGUGAGUAAUGUCUGGGAAACUGCCUGAUGGAGGGGGAUAACUACUGGAAACGGUAGCUAAUACCGCAUAACGUCGCAAGACCAAAGAGGGGGACCUUCGGGCCUCUUGCCAUCGGAUGUUCCCAGAUGGGAUUAGCUAGUAGGUGGGGUAACGGCUCACCUAGGCCACGAUCCCUAGCUGGUCUGAGAGGAUGACCAGCCACACUGGAACUGAGACACGGUCCAGACUCCUACGGGAGGCAGCAGUGGGGAAUAUUGCACAAUGGGCGCAAGCCUGAUGCAGCCAUGCCGCGUGUAUGAAGAAGGCCUUCGGGUUGUAAAGUACUUUCAGCGGGGAGGAAGGGAGUAAAGUUAAUACCUUUGCUCAUUGACGUUACCCGCAGAAGAAGCACCGGCUAACUCCGUG